rnacentral:misc_RNA from 1 species
GUCGAAGUAAAGCUUAUAGAAUCCUGAACUAUAGUUGCUUUGACUCCUUGAGGACACAAGCUUCCUGUCUUUGCUCAGUGGCUGAAGCGGAAGGAGAGUGUCGGGGGGGGAAAAAGUAAAUCACCUUCCAAGCUCUGCAGUACAAGAUUGCCGCUGUCCUGAAGGUAUAGUUGCACUGAAGAUUCUGAAACUGUGUCCGUUGCCCAAACUGUAACUCGACCAGCAUCUUUUAAGAUAAGAUUACCAGAUUUUAGCAGAGAGAGCUCUGAAUGUUUCCCAUUAACUGGCUGGUCACGGUUUGCCAUCCAAACUACGGUGCAGUUUUUGUUGCAGAAAGGUUCAUCAAACCAUAUGGCAAAGCAGUAAGCAUUGUCUCCGACGGGAAAAAAUCCAGCGACGAAAGUGUUACUCCGUGAAAUCAAAACAUCGUUUGCUUUGUCGACUGAUAAAGAUGAGCCUUUGGUAAGGCUAUCAGAUGCUGAAGACAAUAAUGGAGAGGAUAG